UAGGGAAUCUUCGGCAAUGGGGGCAACCCUGACCGAGCAACGCCGCGUGAGUGAAGAAGGUUUUCGGAUCGUAAAGCUCUGUUGUAAGAGAAGAACGUGUGUGAGAGUGGAAAGUUCACACAGUGACGGUAACUUACCAGAAAGGGACGGCUAACUACGUGCCAGCAUCCGCGGUAAUACGUAGGUCCCGAGCGUUGUCCGGAUUUAUUGGGCGUAAAGCGAGCGCAGGCGGUUUAAUAAGUGUGAAGUUAAAGGCAGUGGCUUAACCAUUGUCCGGUUUGGAAACGGUUAAACUAGAGUGCAGAAGGUGGGAGUGGAAUUCCAUGUUUAGCGGUGAAAGGCGUAGGUAUAUGGAGGAACACCGGUGGCGAAAGCGGCUCUCUGGUCUGUAACUGACGCUGAGGCUCGAAAGCGUGGGGAGCAAGCAGG
rnacentral:rRNA from 1 species